GUGUCCAGGGAUGGGAAUCGAACCCACAAUGUUCCGCUUACCAGGCAGAUGCCACAUGUCCACUAGACUAUA